CGAACGGUAACAUUUCUAGCUUGCUAGAAGAUGACGAGUGGCGGACGGGUGAGUAAUGCUUGGGAACUUGCCUUUGCGAGGGAGAUAACAGUUGGAAACGACUGCUAAUACCGCAUAAUGUCUACGGACCAAACGGGGCUUAGGCUCCGGCGCAAAGAGAGGCCCAAGUGAGAUUAGCUAGUUGGUAAGGUAACGGCUUACCAAGGCGACGAUCUCUAGCUGUUCUGAGAGGAAGAUCAGCCACACUGGGACUGAGACACGGCCCAGACUCCUACGGGAGGCAGCAGUGGGGAAUAUUGCACAAUGGGGGGAACCCUGAUGCAGCCAUGCCGCGUGUGUGAAGAAGGCCUUCGGGUUGUAAAGCACUUUCAGUUGUGAGGAAAAGUUAGUAGUUAAUACCUGCUAGCCGUGACGUUAACAACAGAAGAAGCACCGGCUAACUCCGUGCCAGCAGCCGCGGUAAUAUGGAGGGUGCGAGCGUUAAUCGGAAUUACUGGGCGUAAAGCGCACGCAGGCGGUUUGUUAAGCUAGAUGUGAAAGCCCCGGGCUCAACCUGGGAUGGUCAUUUAGAACUGGCAGACUAGAGUCUUGGAGAGGGGAGUGGAAUUCCAGGUGUAGCGGUGAAAUGCGUAGAUAUCUGGAGGAACAUCAGUGGCGAAGGCGACUCCCUGGCCAAAGACUGACGCUCAUGUGCGAAAGUGUGGGUAGCGAACAGGAUUCGAUACCCUGGUAGUCCACACCGUAAACGCUGUCUACUAGCUGUGUGUGUCUUUAAGACGUGCGUAGCGAAGCUAACGCGCUAAGUAGACCGCCUGGGGAGUANGGNCGCAAGGUUAAAA
rnacentral:rRNA from 1 species